AGUGGGAGGCAGGAGCUCGGACUCCUAACUUGUAAAGAAGAGACCGAUGUAAUGGACCUGCAAGAGCUUUCAUGAACAAAUCAGCGAGUUGAGACGAAGAUGGAACAAAGGACAGAGAAAUUAAGCCUUCAAGCAGUUUUUCACGAACAAAGUGACAAUCAAGCUCGAUGUGCUUGGUUCGUUCAUGAAAAAUGCAUUCUUUGCAAUAUGAAUCGCCGAUUUAUUGUCGCAAUGGAGAGGAACUAGUAAAAUAGGAGAAGCACCAAUAUCAUAAAGAAGACACACUAGCCAUGUAAUUUCCGCCACCAGUCGUCUCAUAGAACGGUAUUCCGCUUCCACAGAAGAGAGGGCAAUAGCUGGUUGUUUUUCGACUUCCAAAAAAUAGGACCGCCACGCAAACAAUAAAAAAUCCGCUCACCAAUCUGUGAGUAUCAGUGCAAGAUGCCUAAUCGGAGCACAAAAGGCGAAGAUAUGUAAAGAAGACCCCGGAGAUCUGAACAAACCAAGGUCAGGAUCUCUACUGAUGUGUUUGAGAGUACAUAAAGCUACUUGAAAAAUGGCCAUUGUGUGGAGAUUAUAUGUAUUGACUCAAAGUCUGAACGGCAUAAGAAAGAUCGGGUCUCGUAUUGGUAAUAAAAUUGAGCUUUCCAAGUAAUCGUCGGUAAACCAUGGGAUCUGGCAAAGGUACACCCUUUGUGGAUUUCAGUUUAGAAGUAGGUUUAAGAGGCGUGGAGACUGACCGACAACCUAUGCAGUUGAAUUCUUCAAGCCACUCUAGGGCAAAUUUGCAUUGGGUUACAACCAGUGCUGCUCAUUCCCGUAUUAAUUCCAUACCCAAAAAAUAGUGAGCCUUUCUUAAAUCCUUAAUUUUGAACUCGGCAUAAAAAAACUGCUUGAUUUCACUAACUUCUUGUGUAUUGUUACCAUUAAUGAGAAUGUCAUCAAUGUACACUGCAAGGAGCGUAAUCAAAUCCCUAGUCUUUUUGAAGAACAAAGAGUAAUCAUUUAGUGAGGAAGUGAAUCCUCUGGUUGCGAGCGCGGAGGACAAAUGAGCAUACCAUUUACAUGAGGCUUGCUUUAAGCCAUAUAAGGAUUUCUAGAGUCGAGACACAUGAGAGGGAGAAAGAGGGACUAAACCUAGAGGAAACCUCGUAUAGACUUCUUCUUGCAAGUUACCAUAGAAGAAUGCGUUGUUAAUAUCAAGUUGGUAAAUCUUCUAAUCUUUCUUAACUUCAAAUACUAAGAUACAUUGUAUAGUUGUCAUUUUUACAACAGGAGAAAAAAUCUCUGUAUAGUCAAUACCCACACGUAGUGUAUCCCCUCUGGUUACCAACCGUGCUUUCAGUUUUCCAAAGAUCCGUCUGACUUCAGUUUUUCUUUGUAAAUCCACUUGCAAGCUAAAGGUUUCUUGCUGUUUGGCAAUUGAACCAUGUCCCAUGUUUCUUGGAAUUCAAUGCCUCAAACUCUUUAUCUAUGGAAACUUUCCACCCAGGAUGCAUCACAACUUAUUGGUAAGAUGUUGGAUCAGUAAUUUGACAAGUUGAAGUAAUAAGUAUCUGGUUUUGUGGUGUCAUUAAAGAAAAGGAUGAAUGAUAAAAAAGAAGACAAGGUGGAUUAGGUGACAGUAAAAGAAGCGUCACAUAUGUUAUCUGAUAUAUACUUAGGUGGAUUAUGAUCCCUUUGUGAUCUCCUCAGUUGAUGCUCAGGUUCUGAAGGCAAAACUUCUCCACUAGAAAUGGAUUUGUAGGAUUAUUCAAAAUAGGAGAAAUAGAGGGAGAAGGUGAGUGAAAAAUAGGUGACCUUACCGCUGAGAUGUAGAAUUAUUAGGAGAAACUGCAGUAGAGGGAGAAGAAGUUACAUGCUUAUUAGGGGAUGAAAAAACAUACUCAAUAGGAGACGGAAGCAUACUGGAAAGAGUUUAGACAAGGAAAAGGGAAAGAUAGUCUCAACAAACUUGACAUCUCUACGAAGGAUCACCUGACUUGUUUGUAAAUUUAGAAUCUUGUAUUUUUUUUUCAAAUGGAUACCCUAUAAAAACACCAGGAAAGGCUCUAGGACUCAACUUGUCUCUAUCUCUGGAGAGAGUAGAACUGAAGCAUAGACAACCAAAUGUCUUAAGGAAUGAGUAAUCUGGAUCUGUCCCAAAUAGAACAUGGUAGGGAGAUUUAAGUUGAAGAACUUGAGAAGGAAAUUUGUUAAUCAAAUGGGUAGUUGUAAGUAAACACUCCCCCACCCCCCAACCCCCAGUAUUUUUUAGGAACAUGUGAUUGAAACAUCAUUGCCCUACAAGUGUCUAACAAAUGUCUAUGCUUUCUUUUAACUACCCUAUUUUGUUGUGGGGUUUCUACACAACUAGUCUGAUGGAUAAUUCCUUGAGAAUUGUAGUAAUCCAUUUGAAUAUGUCAUGUCCCUCUUUCAAAUGCAUUAUCUAAUCUGAUCAUUUUUACUUAGGUGGAAAACUGUCUUUCAACAAGGGUUAGGAAAGCUUUCAAAGUAGGAAAUGCAUUAGAUUUGGUGGAUAGCAAGAAAGUCCAAGUACUUCUAGAGAAAUCAUCAACCACAGUUAGAAAGUACUUCUCCCCUUUAUAUGUUGGUGUGUUGUAUAGUCCCCAUAUGUCUAUAUGUAUCAAGUCAAAAGAAUACUUGGAUAUAAUUGUGUUUUUGGUAAAUAGUGGUUUAGACUGUCUUUCCGUAGCACACACUUGUUAAGAGAAUUUGUUGUUAUUUGUAGAAGUAACAUGUAUUGCUUUAAUAUAUUUCAUAGCAUCAUAUGGUAAGUGUCCUAAGCGAAAAUGUCAUAUUUGUUUGAAUCAGUCACAUUCAUGCCAUCAUUUGAAAUAGAAACAUUAAUAUUGAUAUUUUCAUUUAAAUUUGAUGGACAAAGAGGACUCAAUAGAACAGGACACUUUGCCCUUUCACAAACAGACUCUGAAUCAGAAGACAAUGACCCUAGCAGUCUAUGCCUACUACUAGAAGAAAAAGAAGCUUAAAUAGGUGAUUUAAUUGAGUGUAUUCCCAAUGUAGAAGUGUAAUCCUUGAGAACACAGAGACCAGUUGUGGUUUCACCAAAGAGAGGCUCUUUUCCCAUUAAAGAGGCCUGCAAAAUGCAUCCCGCCUUAGUAUACAACAAUUUAUAAUUCAUAUCAUUGACAAACUAACUUACUGACAAAAGAUUAUGCUUGAAAUCAGGCACAUGUAACACAUGGUAGAGUUUUAUCCCUGGAGGAAGAACUAUAUUGCCUACAACAUAGGCUUUUACUUAACAAGAAUUGGCCAAAUUGACUAGAAGUGGCGUGGGAAAUAACCUAAGAUCAUGCAACAAGCGUCUUUCGAAAGUCAUAUGUUGUAUAGCACCACUAUCUGGAAUCCAAGGAUAUUUGGUUAAGUUUGAAAGAAGUGAGGUAAGGGAAAGCAAAGCAUGUUGCAUACCAACUAGAUUUGUGGCUGCAAUAGGUUCAGAGGAAGCUGUAGAGGUUCCUUGCAGAGAUUGAAACAUUUGGAUCAACUAGUCACACUGCUCCUUGGUGAAUCCUUGUGCUCCAACCAAAGUGGAAACACUUUCUCCUGCCAUUCCUGAGCUUAAAUCCCUUCCAGUUAUUUCCAUGUUAGCUUGUGUAGUAGAAGGUAGUGGCUUCAUCAUCAAGAUAUUUGCUCUCACACCAGAAUAGCAUCAUUAAGUCCCAUAAGGAGUUGAAUCAAUUUUUGAUACUCAUUUAUCUUAACGUUGUGGGUCUUUUCUCCACACUUACAAUCACAAUUGCAUAUCAUAAAAUUGUUGAGUACAUUCAUUUGGUCCUAUAUCCUUUUGAGCUUUGUGAAAUAUCAUGCUAUGUCACUUGUUCCUUGACUAAUAUUAUUAAGUUCUCUUUGCAGUUGGAACAACUUGGU
rnacentral:lncRNA from 1 species